UAGGAAUUUUGCUUUAACUUGUUCCUGCUUGUGGUGCGUACAACAGAAUGAAAUUAACAGUUCUAACUAAUCCCAAAGAAGUUGUAUGUGGGUGGGCUCCCUUCAACUUUAACAUGGAAGUGCUUUCUGUGACUUUAAAAGAAGAUCUGGACCUACCUCAAUUGCUUUUGCUGCUUGUUCUUUUGUUUCAAAUUCCACAAACGCAAAUCCCUUUGGAUCUCCAGUAGACUUAUAAUGUGGUAUACUUAUAUAAACAACAUUGCCACAUUUCCCAAAGACUCUUUCAAUCCAGCUGUGAUUAACAUUUUUGGGAAGUAACUCCUAUUAUAAAUUAAAAGCAAUAUUAGAGUUUUUCACCAUCAGAAUGUCAAUAAAUUUUUAACUUAAUUAUAUUGUUUCUGUGCCAGUUUCUGACUGGGGACUGAGGUUAAGCUUACCACAUACACUGUGCGUUCAUCCUCAUCCUUUGGUCUUUCCCCCAGAGGUUUUUUCCUCCGGAUUCUGGUGCCUUCCAAAUCAAGCUUUAAAAUAGUGUAUUACAUUAAUAAAACUAAUAUUAUUUAUAAUUAUAAACUAUAAUCAUAUAAUAAUGAUUACGUUAACAUUAUAAGCUAUAA
rnacentral:antisense_RNA from 1 species